AAGUGUUGCGGCUCUUUUAGAAUUUGUCUAGCAGGCUUUCUCAUUGCUACUGGAAAUCCUCC
rnacentral:snRNA from 1 species